rnacentral:rRNA from 1 species
GACGAACGCUGGCGGCGUGCUUAACACAUGCAAGUCGAACGGAGUGCUCAUGACGGAGGAUUCGUCCAACGGAUUGAGUUACUUAGUGGCGGACGGGUGAGUAACGCGUGAGGAACCUGCCUCGGAGUGGGGAAUAACAGACCGAAAGGCCUGCUAAUACCGCAUGAUACAGUUGGGUCGCAUGACUCUGACUGUCAAAGAUUUAUCGCUCUGAGAUGGACCCGCGUCUGAUUAGCUAGUUGGUGGGGUAACGGCCUACCAAGGCGACGAUCAGUAGCCGGCCUGAGAGGGUGAACGGCCACAUUGGGACUGAGACACGGUCCAA